rfam:Ornithorhynchus anatinus chromosome 11, whole genome shotgun sequence.
CCCCUCUCAGGGUCGCACUUGGAGAGUUUCCAGUACUCUACCGGUCUCGGCUACGAGAGGCAGAGUCAAGCAGAGGCCUACCCAUUCCGUUCCUAGCUUGGGCAGUGGCUAGAGAGUGAAAGGCAAUCUGCUACAAGG